UGGGUUGGAGAGAUUUACCGCAACACUGUGCUAUUUUGGGACGUGCUGAGCUCCAGUGCCAAGGAGGGAGAUGCCCGUCACACUAAGCAGUACUGAGGAGGCCGCUUAUCUUGUGGGAGCAAACGAGUCUUAAUCAUGGUGGAAUCUGAAGAAAAGAUUCAUUUGAAAAUCAAAUGGAGUUUUACCUGUGUAACAGAGCUAUGGCUGCCCUGAAACUUGCUUUGUAGACCAGGUUGGCCUUGAACUCACAAGAUCUGCCUGCAUCUUUCUCCUGAGUGCUGGGAUGAAAGGAGUGUAUUAUUCUGCCUCAUGAUUCUGCCUCAUGAUUCUUUAAUUAUUAG
rnacentral:lncRNA from 1 species